rnacentral:rRNA from 1 species
UACGUAGGGGGCAAGCGUUGUCCGGAUUUAUUGGGCGUAAAGAGCGUGUAGGCGGUCAGGUAGGUCCGUUGUGAAAACUCGAGGCUUAACCUCGAGAUGUCGGCGGAAACCAUCUGGCUAGAGUCCGGAAGAGGAGAGCGGAAUUCCUGGUGUAGCGGUGAAAUGCGCAGAUAUCAGGAGGAACACCCGUGGCGAAGGCGGCUCUCUGGGACGGUACUGACGCUGAGACGCGAAAGCGUGGGGAGCGAACAGG